UUAAAUUGAAGAGUUUGAUCAUGGCUCAGAUUGAACGCUGGCGGCAGGCCUAACACAUGCAAGUCGAACGGUAACAGGAAGAAGCUUGCUUCUUUGCUGACGAGUGGCGGACGGGUGAGUAAUGUCUGGGAAACUGCCUGAUGGAGGGGGAUAACUACUGGAAACGGUAGCUAAUACCGCAUAACGUCGCAAGACCAAAGGAGGGGAACUUAGGGCCUCUUGCCA
rnacentral:rRNA from 1 species